ACAACCUGAUGAUUUCAUAUCCAAGUAUCGGGAAAUUCAAGAAGAAAUCUUUUCCUCUCUUUGACUCGCUAGGAGAACUCUAUGAUGGGCAUACAGCUGAGGGUACCUACAAUUUCACAUCCAUUGCACAACCAUCACAAAUUGACGAAGACUUUGAAGAUGAAAGA